rnacentral:rRNA from 1 species
UACGUAGGGUGCGAGCGUUGUCCGGAAUUAUUGGGCGUAAAGGGCUCGUAGGCGGUCUGUCGCGUCGGGAGUGAAAACUCAGGGCUUAACCCUGAGCCUGCUUCCGAUACGGGCAGACUAGAGGUAUGCAGGGGAGAACGGAAUUCCUGGUGUAGCGGUGGAAUGCGCAGAUAUCAGGAGGAACACCGGUGGCGAAGGCGGUCUCCUGGGGCAUUCUUGACGCUGAGGCGCGAAAGCUGGGGGAGCAAACGGG